UACGUAGGUGGCAAGCGUUGUCCGGAUUUACUGGGCGUAAAGAGCGCGCAGGCGGUCGUUCAAGUCGCGUGUGAAAGCCCCCGGCUCAACUGGGGAGGGUCACGCGAUACUGAUCGACUCGAAGGCAGGAGAGGGUAGUGGAAUUCCCGGUGUAGUGGUGAAAUGCGCAGAUAACGGGAGGAACACCAGUGGCGAAGGCGACUACCUGGCCCAUUCUUGACGCUGAGGCGCGAAAGCUAGGGGAGCGAACGGG
rnacentral:rRNA from 1 species